GGGGGGGGGCGGCGCGGGACGCCGUGGGGCUGAGGGCGCAAUGGGGGGGCGCCUGGGGGGGGUCCGGGGAGCUCCAGGUCAGAUCGGGGGGCUCCCGGAGCCGCGCCCGCAGCUGCCCCAACGCCCGGCUGAGGUUCCGCAGCGUCCCUUCGAGCCGCGCGUUUUCCCCCCGCAGCCCCCGCAGAGCGUCCCCCAAUUCGAAGGCGGCCCCCAACCCCGCGCCCCACACCGCGCCCCACAGCAGCGCCAACCGCAGCGCCGCGCAGCGCCCCAUGGCUGUGCUGGGGGGGG
rnacentral:lncRNA from 1 species